AAGCGCAUGCAAACGAUUGGUCGGUGAUACACGUACGAGCAUGAAGCAACACAAAUUUACCAUUUAAAUUGCGGACAGAAACAAAUUUAGCGUAGCUUAAUUUUCACACGCCAAUCAAACGUUCCACAGUUGCCCGCACGAAACCGACACAGCUAGCAACGUCAGUGUAUCGCCUACCACACGCUAGCGCACCUCGUACCGUUCAGGCAGGCACGCACACACACGCCUGCAAAAAAGAACGAACCUUCAACGCGUGCGGUUGUGUCGUCGGUCGUCCGAUUCCGGUGCGGUUCCAGUGGAAUGGUUUAAAGCAAGAUUAUUCUCUUCGGUGCGCCGCGCAAAGUAGUCCAGUGCCGUGAGAGUGCCGUGUGUGUAAGCGCGUGCGCCGUGUCUGCUGUUGAUCGUGAAAUUAAGCCUUUUCCCGCUCGUGCUCUGCUGUGAAGCAACGGUCGCAAGGGAGAGGGUGGCUUCUGGGGGGGCUAGCGAGCUAAAGGCUAGGGGCAGUGGAAGCAAAAAGGGCAGGAAGAUUUGCAAGCGCUUGCAAUGUUGCCACGGCCUGAAGCGCUCAAGUGUUCCGGAGCCGCAUGGAUCGAUCAAGCCACCGCUGGCCUGCUGCUGCACCGUCACCACGGCGAGUCUUGGUGAGCGGGCGUGACGACGCCAGUCCCUUAGAGCGUGCUAAAACUCCGAGCGUCGUGUGCGCGUUGUGUCCUGUGUGUAUGGUGGAUGAAAAUUAAGUAAAAAGAAGAAGAAGAAAAAGAAAAUAAGCCGCAAUAAUAUUUCCUUUUCUUUCGGUGGGAGUUUUUUUUUGCGUGGCAAAAUUUGAAAAAAGAAAUCGAGUGUUGUGUGUGAAGCGCGCUGUAUCGAUUGCGUGUGCAUUUUUGUGCAAUUUGUGGGCAAGAAGUUGCGUAUGCGUGUGUUUG